AGAGUUUGAUUAUGGCUCAGGAUGAACGCUGGCGGCGUGCUUAACACAUUCAAGUCGAACGGACAAAAGGACUUCGGUCCUCGAGUCAGUGGCGGACGGGUGAGUAACGCGUGAGCAAUCUGCCUUCGGGUGUGGAAUAACAGACGGAAACGGCUGCUAAUACCGCAUAACGUAUAUUGAUCGCAUGUUCGAUAUACCAAAGAUUUAUUGCCCGAAGAUGAGCUCGCGUCCCAUUAGACAGUUGGUGAGGUAACGGCCCACCAAAUCUACGAUGGGUAGCCGGACUGAGAGGUCGAACGGCCACAUUGGAACUGAGAAACGGUCCAGACUCCUACGGGAGGCAGCAGUGGGGAAUAUUGGGCAAUGGGCGAAAAAGCCUGACCCAGCGACGCCGCGUGAAGGAAGAAGGUCUUCGGAUUGUAAACUUUAGUCGACAGGGAAGAAAGAAAUGACGGUACCUGUAGAGGAAGCCACGACUAACUACGUGCCAGCCGCCGC
rnacentral:rRNA from 1 species